rnacentral:rRNA from 1 species
GAUGAACGCUGGCGGCGUGCCUAAUACAUGCAAGUCGAGCGAACAGACGAGGAGCUUGCUCCUCUGACGUUAGCGGCGGACGGGUGAGUAACACGUGGAUAACCUACCUAUAAGACUGGGAUAACUUCGGGAAACCGGGGCUAAUACCGGAUAAUAUAUUGAACCGCAUGGUUCAAUAGUGAAAGACGGUUUUGCUGUCACUUAUAGAUGGAUCCGCGCCGCAUUAGCUAGUUGGUAAGGUAACAGCUUACCAAGGCAACGAUGCGUAGCCGACCUGAGAGGGUGAUCGGCCACACUGGAACUGAGACACGGUCCAGACUCCUACGGGAGGCAGCAGUAGGGAAUCUUCCGCAAUGGGCGAAAGCCUGACGGAGCAGCGCCGCGUGAGUGAUGAAGGUCUUCGGAUCGUAAAACUCUGUUAUUAGGGAAGAACAAAUGUGUAAGUAACUAUGCACGUCUUGACGGUACCUAAUCAGAAAGCCACGGCUAACUACGUG